rnacentral:rRNA from 1 species
GGGACAGAAGUGACAGGUGGUGCAUGGUUGUCGUCAGCUCGUGUCGUGAGAUGUUGGGUUAAGUCCCGCAACGAGCGCAACCCUUGCCUUUAGUUGCCAGCAUUAAGUUGGGCACUCUAGAGGGACUGCCAGGGAUAACCUGGAGGAAGGUGGGGAUGACGUCAAAUCAUCAUGCCCUUAUGCUUAGGGCUACACACGUGCUACAAUGGGUGGUACAGAGGGCAGCCAAGUCGUGAGGCGGAGCUAAUCCCUUAAAGCCAUUCUCAGUUCGGAUUGUAGGCUGAAACUCGCCUACAUGAAGCUGGAAUCGCUAGUAAUCGCAGAUCAGAAUGCUGCGGUGAAUACGUUCCCGGGUCUUGUACACACCG